CUUAUGCCGGCGACCGGCGGACGGGUGCGUAACGCGUAUGUAACCUACCUUUGACAGGGGGAUAACAUCGAGAAAUUGGUACUAAUACCCCAUAACAUCACCGGAGGCAUCUUCGGUGGUUGAAAACUCAGGUGGUCAGAGAUGGACAUGCGUUGUAUUAGCUAGUUGGUGAGGUAACGGCUCACCAAGGCGACGAUACAUAGGGGGACUGAGAGGUUAACCCCCCACAUUGGUACUGAGACACGGACCAAACUCCUACGGGAGGCAGCAG
rnacentral:rRNA from 1 species